AUUGAACGCUGGCGGCAGGCUUAACACAUGCAAGUCGAGCGGAGAUGAGGUGCUUGCACCUUAUCUUAGCGGCGGACGGGUGAGUAAUGCUUAGGAAUCUGCCUAUUAGUGGGGGACAACAUUCCGAAAGGAAUGCUAAUACCGCAUACGCCCUACGGGGGAAAGCAGGGGAUCUUCGGACCUUGCGCUAAUAGAUGAGCCUAAGUCGGAUUAGCUAGUUGGUGGGGUAAAGGCCUACCAAGGCGACGAUCUGUAGCGGGUCUGAGAGGAUGAUCCGCCACACUGGGACUGAGACACGGCCCAGACUCCUACGGGAGGCAGCAGUGGGGAAUAUUGGACAAUGGGCGGAAGCCUGAUCCAGCCAUGCCGCGUGUGUGAAGAAGGCCUUUUGGUUGUAAAGCACUUUAAGUUGGGAGGAAGGGUCGUUACCUAAUACGUGGCGAUUUUGACGUUACCGACAGAAUAAGCACCGGCUAACUCUGUGCCAGCCGCCGCGGUAACAC
rnacentral:rRNA from 1 species